GGGUUGUGAGGUUAAGCGACUAAGCGUACACGGUGGAUGCCCUGGCAGUCAGAGGCGAUGAAGGACGUGCUAAUCUGCGAUAAGCGUCGGUAAGGUGAUAUGAACCGUUAUAACCGGCGAUUUCCGAAUGGGGAAACCCAGUGUGUUUCGACACACUAUCAUUAACUGAAUCCAUAGGUUAAUGAGGCGAACCGGGGGAACUGAAACAUCUAAGUACCCCGAGGAAAAGAAAUCAACCGAGAUUCCCCCAGUAGCGGCGAGCGAACGGGGAGCAGCCCAGAGCCUGAAUCAGUAUGUGUGUUAGUGGAAGCGUCUGGAAAGGCGCGCGAUACAGGGUGACAGCCCCGUACACAAAAAUGCACAUGCUGUGAGCUCGAUGAGUAGGGCGGGACACGUGGUAUCCUGUCUGAAUAUGGGGGGACCAUCCUCCAAGGCUAAAUACUCCUGACUGACCGAUAGUGAACCAGUACCGUGAGGGAAAGGCGAAAAGAACCCCGGCGAGGGGAGUGAAAAAGAACCUGAAACCGUGUACGUACAAGCAGUGGGAGCACGCUUAGGCGUGUGACUGCGUACCUUUUGUAUAAUGGGUCAGCGACUUAUAUUCUGUAGCAAGGUUAACCGAAUAGGGGAGCCGAAGGGAAACCGAGUCUUAACUGGGCGUUAAGUUGCAGGGUAUAGACCCGAAACCCGGUGAUCUAGCCAUGGGCAGGUUGAAGGUUGGGUAACACUAACUGGAGGACCGAACCGACUAAUGUUGAAAAAUUAGCGGAUGACUUGUGGCUGGGGGUGAAAGGCCAAUCAAACCGGGAGAUAGCUGGUUCUCCCCGAAAGCUAUUUAGGUAGCGCCUCGUGAAUUCAUCUCCGGGGGUAGAGCACUGUUUCGGCAAGGGGGUCAUCCCGACUUACCAACCCGAUGCAAACUGCGAAUACCGGAGAAUGUUAUCACGGGAGACACACGGCGGGUGCUAACGUCCGUCGUGAAGAGGGAAACAACCCAGACCGCCAGCUAAGGUCCCAAAGUCAUGGUUAAGUGGGAAACGAUGUGGGAAGGCCCAGACAGCCAGGAUGUUGGCUUAGAAGCAGCCAUCAUUAAAGAAAGCGUAAUAGCUCACUGGUCGAGUCGGCCUGCGCGGAAGAUGUAACGGGGCUAAACCAUGCACCGAAGCUGCGGCAGCGACGCUGAUGCGUUGUUGGGUAGGGGAGCGUUCUGUAAGCCUGUGAAGGUGUGCUGUGAGGCAUGCUGGAGGUAUCAGAAGUGCGAAUGCUGACAUAAGUAACGAUAAAGCGGGUGAAAAGCCCGCUCGCCGGAAGACCAAGGGUUCCUGUCCAACGUUAAUCGGGGCAGGGUGAGUCGACCCCUAAGGCGAGGCCGAAAGGCGUAGUCGAUGGGAAACAGGUUAAUAUUCCUGUACUUGGUGUUACUGCGAAGGGGGGACGGAGAAGGCUAUGUUGGCCGGGCGACGGUUGUCCCGGUUUAAGCGUGUAGGCUGGUUUUCCAGGCAAAUCCGGAAAAUCAAGGCUGAGGCGUGAUGACGAGGCACUACGGUGCUGAAGCAACAAAUGCCCUGCUUCCAGGAAAAGCCUCUAAGCAUCAGGUAACAUCAAAUCGUACCCCAAACCGACACAGGUGGUCAGGUAGAGAAUACCAAGGCGCUUGAGAGAACUCGGGUGAAGGAACUAGGCAAAAUGGUGCCGUAACUUCGGGAGAAGGCACGCUGAUAUGUAGGUGAAGUCCCUCGCGGAUGGAGCUGAAAUCAGUCGAAGAUACCAGCUGGCUGCAACUGUUUAUUAAAAACACAGCACUGUGCAAACACGAAAGUGGACGUAUACGGUGUGACGCCUGCCCGGUGCCGGAAGGUUAAUUGAUGGGGUUAGCGCAAGCGAAGCUCUUGAUCGAAGCCCCGGUAAACGGCGGCCGUAACUAUAACGGUCCUAAGGUAGCGAAAUUCCUUGUCGGGUAAGUUCCGACCUGCACGAAUGGCGUAAUGAUGGCCAGGCUGUCUCCACCCGAGACUCAGUGAAAUUGAACUCGCUGUGAAGAUGCAGUGUACCCGCGGCAAGACGGAAAGACCCCGUGAACCUUUACUAUAGCUUGACACUGAACAUUGAGCCUUGAUGUGUAGGAUAGGUGGGAGGCUUUGAAGUGUGGACGCCAGUCUGCAUGGAGCCGACCUUGAAAUACCACCCUUUAAUGUUUGAUGUUCUAACGUUGACCCGUAAUCCGGGUUGCGGACAGUGUCUGGUGGGUAGUUUGACUGGGGCGGUCUCCUCCUAAAGAGUAACGGAGGAGCACGAAGGUUGGCUAAUCCUGGUCGGACAUCAGGAGGUUAGUGCAAUGGCAUAAGCCAGCUUGACUGCGAGCGUGACGGCGCGAGCAGGUGCGAAAGCAGGUCAUAGUGAUCCGGUGGUUCUGAAUGGAAGGGCCAUCGCUCAACGGAUAAAAGGUACUCCGGGGAUAACAGGCUGAUACCGCCCAAGAGUUCAUAUCGACGGCGGUGUUUGGCACCUCGAUGUCGGCUCAUCACAUCCUGGGGCUGAAGUAGGUCCCAAGGGUAUGGCUGUUCGCCAUUUAAAGUGGUACGCGAGCUGGGUUUAGAACGUCGUGAGACAGUUCGGUCCCUAUCUGCCGUGGGCGCUGGAGAACUGAGGGGGGCUGCUCCUAGUACGAGAGGACCGGAGUGGACGCAUCACUGGUGUUCGGGUUGUCAUGCCAAUGGCACUGCCCGGUAGCUAAAUGCGGAAGAGAUAAGUGCUGAAAGCAUCUAAGCACGAAACUUGCCCCGAGAUGAGUUCUCCCUGACCCUUUAAGGGUCCUGAAGGAACGUUGAAGACGACGACGUUGAUAGGCCGGGUGUGUAAGCGCAGCGAUGCGUUGAGCUAACCGGUACUAAUGAACCGUGAGGCUUAACCUUACAACGCCGAAGGUGUUU
rnacentral:rRNA from 1 species